AAUUGGGGGUGGGGCGUUCACGGCCAGUCUGUAAAUGUCAGCACAGCACGCAGCCGCGCGACGUUAUCCUCCGUCAACAAUGUUUGAAUAAUUCCACGCCAAGAGUACUUCACGGCGCCAUCAUGGCCGAGGAGCACCGCCAAGAAAACGAGCCGAGUGAGACUCCUUUUAGCUUCGGAGACGAUCUGGAGCUGAACCAGUUUGACGGAUUGCCCUUUUCCUCGCGUUACUACCAACUCCUCCGGGAGAGGAAGACUCUGCAGGUGUGGGGGGCGAGGAGGCAGUUGGAGGACGCGCUUGUGACGCGGCAGGUGGUGGUGGUGUCUGGACCCGCCCGGACCGGGAGGAGCACACAGAUCCCUCAGUGGUGUGCGGAGCUCUGCCUGUCCGCCAAGUAUCGCCACGGCACGGUGGUUUGCACGCAGACCAGCGGGCACAGAGCCGUGGACUUGGCCCUGCGCGUCGCCGACGAAAUGGACGUGAACGUCGGCCACGAAGUCGGUUACAGCGUCCGGCUGGAGGCGUGCUGCUGCUCCGAUACUGUUCUCAGAUUUUCCACCGAUGACAUGUUGCUAAGAGAGAUGAUGUCCGACCCUUUCUUGGAGAACUACGCCAUCAUCGUCAUCGAUCAGGCCCACCAGAGGACCGUCAGCACCGGCCUGCUGCUGGGUCUCCUGAAGGCCGUCUUGGUCCACAGACCCGAGCUCAGAGUCGUGGUCCUGGCCGCCCCGCCCUUCACCGACGACUUCCUGACCCACUUCCCAGGUGCGCCGCUCAUCAAGCUGGAGUGCCGGCGUCAGCCCCAGGUGAUCCACUGCAGCGGCGCCGACAAGGACUACUUCUACGCCGCACUCAGGCUGGUUCUGGAGAUCCACCGGACCAACGAGGACGGAGACGUCAUGGUCUUCUUGGCUUCCGAGGAUGAGGUGCUCCGCGCUCACAGCAUCCUGCAGAAAGAAGGAACCAGGCUGGGAGGAGAACUGGGUCACAUGGUUCCUGUGGCCAUGUGCCCCAGCCAGGGAGGACUUCCUGUCCCGCCUCCUUCGGAUGAGCGAGGACACGCCCGCAAUUCACGGAGGGUUUUCCUGGCGACGCAACAGGCGGAGGACUGGUGGCGGCCGAUGGAGUCGGUGCACUUUGUCAUCGACGCAGGAGUCCAGAAGAAAAUGGUUUACAAUCCGAGAAUACGAGCCAACGCCGAGGUGCUGCAGUCCAUCAGUUGUUGUCAGGCGGAGCUGCGCAAGGAUCUGUGUGGACCGGCAGGUACUGUCUGUCACGCUAACUCCUAUCUCGGACCACCAGGUCCUGAUUGUCCCGUGUCUUUCCCAGGUAAAUGUUUCCGUUUAUACGCCGACGACGGGCAGCUUCCCACGCAGAGGUCGCCUCAGAUCCUGGAGUCCAACAUCACGUCCACGGUUCUCUUCCUCAAAAGGAUGGAGAUCGGAGGUCUGGGACAGUGCGAGUUCAUCCACAGACCAGAUCCUGAGGGUCUCAUGCAGGCUCUGGAGGAACUGGACUAUCUGGCCGCCUUGGACGACGACGGCAACCUCUCGGAGAUGGGCAUCAUCAUGUCGGAGAUCCCCCUGGAGCCUCAGAUGGCCAAAGCCGUGCUGGCGUCCUGCGAGUUCGACUGCGUGAGCGAGAUGCUGACCGUCGCCGCCAUGCUUUCAGCUCCGAGCUGCUUCCUCGAGCCGCCGUCUUCCGUGACCCACGAGGCCGUGCAGUGUCGCAGAAAGUUCCAGCACCCCGAGGGCGACCACUUCACCCUCAUCAACGUGUACAACGCCUUCAAGAGAAGCCAGAGGGCGCCAUACGUCAGCGCAGAAAAGUGGUGCCGGGAUCAUUUUCUGGAUCAUUCCGCCCUCGAGAUGGCCGAGCAGGUGCGGUCGGAGCUGAUGGACACCCUGAACAGGAUCGAGCUCCCCGUCUCGGAGGCAGCGUUCGGCACCAGGGGCAACGCGUCCAACCUGAAGCGAGCGCUGCUGGCGGGCUUCUUCAUGCAGAUCGCCCGGGACGUGGACGGCUCGGGGAACUACUUCAUCCUGGCUCACAAGCACCUGGCCCAGGUGCAGCCCACAUCCGCCUACGGCCCGCAGUCCAGCAAGCUGGGGGUGCCCGAGUGGGUGGUCUUCCACGAGUACACGCUGUCGGACAAUAACUGCAUGAGGAUAGUGUCGGAGAUUUCACCUCAAGUGUGAGUAUUCCCUCUGUUUAGGAUCUUUGUUGUGGUUGUACUCUCACUGGACACUUCAUUAGGUACACCUGCACCAUCUUAGGCUGAUCUAAAAUUCUGCCAUACAAAGAAAAUCUGUAUAAAAUCACAGGUUAUUACUCCAUACUUGCCAACCCUCCCGGAUUUUCCGGGAGACUCCCGAAAUUCAGCGCCU